CAGCAGCCACGGUAAUACGUAGGUCCCGAGCGUUGUCCGGAUUUAUUGGGCGUAAAGCGAGCGCAGGCGGUUAGAUAAGUCUGAAGUUAAAGGCUGUGGCUUAACCAUAGUACGCUUUGGAAACUGUUUAACUUGAGUGCAGAAGGGGAGAGUGGAAUUCCAUGUGUAGCGGUGAAAUGCGUAGAUAUAUGGAGGAACACCGGUGGCGAAAGCGGCUCUCUGGUCUGUAACUGACGCUGAGGCUCGAAAGCGUGGGGAGCAAACAGGAUUAGAUACCCCUGUAGUCCCUGUCUCUUAUACA
rnacentral:rRNA from 1 species